rnacentral:rRNA from 1 species
GGUUUUUUGUUGUUAAAUAAAAAAUCUGGCCUGCCCACUGAUUUAUUUGAAGGGCUGCAGUAUAUUGACUGUACAAAGGUAGCAUAUUCAUUAGUCUUUUUAUUGAGGACUGGAAUGAAAGGCUAGACAGGCUUUAGCUGUCUCUAGGGCAUUGAAUAAAAUUUUUUUCUUUGUGAAAAUUCAGGGAUAAAAUAAAGGGACAAGAAGACCCUAUCAAACUUAUUUUAGGUAACGUGUUACUUUAAGAGAUAAAAGUAAUAUUGAAGAUAAAAUUUACUGGGGCGGUAAGUAAUAAUACAUUAUUUUUAUUUAACAACUUAAUUGGCUUUUAUAAGGAUCCAUGUAGAUUGAUAUUGAGAAAAAGUUACUGUAGGGAUAACAGCGUAAUGUUCUUUGAGAGUUCAUAUUGACAAAAAUGUUUGCGACCUCGAUGUUGGAUUAAGAAGUCUUUUUGGUGCAGUAGCUAAUAAAAAGAUAGUCUGUUCGACUAUUAAAUUCUU